rnacentral:lncRNA from 1 species
CAUAGAUUGCCUAAGGCUUCGAAGAACCAUAGUGUGAUACCAUUUACCGAUUACCAAAAAUUACGAAGCGAUGUACUGAAGAUCAGCCAAUACUGUAGCAAACAUAAUAAAAAGUUUGAAAUGUUUUGCCAGAAACAUGAACGUCCUUGCUGCAGUAAAUGUAUAGUAGAAACACAUAAAUAAUGUCGGGAUAUUGUCGACUUAGAUUACGUUAUUAAGAAUUACGAAACGCCUAAUGCCCUAUUUGAGAUUGAGAAAACAUUAGUUGAAGUAGCAGAAAAUCUACAGAAAAUUCGCCACCAUCACCAGAACAAUAUGUCGACUUUGAAAGGAAAAAGAAAGGAAAUUGAGAGAGA